rnacentral:sRNA from 1 species
CCCGACUGCUGCUGUUCAGUCCAGGGAAAAUGAAAGUUGGAGUGCUGUGGCUCAUUUCUUUCUUCACCUUCACUGAUGGCCACGGUGGCUUCCUGGGGGCCCCGUCGAAGAAUAUCAGCUGCUGCUUCAGGUGACCUAUAGAGAUUCCAAGGAGAAAAGAGAUUUGAGAAAUUUUCUGAAGCUCUUGAAGCCUCCAUUAUUAUGGUCACACGGGCUAAUUAGAAUUAUCAGAGCAAAGGCUACCACAUACUGCAACAGCCUGAAUGGAGUCCUGCAGUGUACCUGUGAAGACAGCUACACCUGGUUUCCUCCCUCAUGCCUUGAUCCCCAGAACUGCUACCUUCACACGGCUGGAGCACUCCCAAGCUGUGAAUGUCAUCUCAACAACCUCAGCCAGAGUGUCAAUUUCUGUGAGAGAACAAAGAUUUGGGGCACUUUCAAAAUUAAUGAAAGGUUUACAAAUGACCUUUUGAAUUCAUCUUCUGCUAUAUACUCCAAAUAUGCAAAUGGAAUUGAAAUUCAACUCAAAAAAGCAUAUGAAAGAAUUCAAGGUUUUGAGUCGGUUCAGGUCACCCAAUUUCGAAAUGGAAGCAUCGUUGCUGGGUAUGAAGUUGUUGGUUCCAGCAGUGCAUCUGAACUGCUGUCAGCCAUUGAACAGGUUGCCGAGAAGGCUAAGACAGCCCUUCACAAGCUGUUUCCAUUAGAAGACGGCUCUUUCAGAGUGUUCGGAAAAGCCCAGUGUAAUGACAUUGUCUUUGGAUUUGGGUCUAAGGAUGAUGAAUAUACCCUGCCCUGCAGCAGUGGCUACAGGGGAAACAUCACAGCCAAGUGUGAGUCCUCUGGGUGGCAGGUCAUCAGGGAGACUUGUGUGCUCUCUCUGCUUGAAGAACUGAAGAAGAAUUUCAGUAUGAUUGUAGGCAAUGCCACUGAGGCAGCUGUGUCAUCCUUCGUGCAAAAUCUUUCCGUCAUCAUUCGGCAAAACCCAUCAACCACAGUGGGGAAUCUGGCUUCGGUGGUGUCGAUUCUGAGCAAUAUUUCAUCUCUGUCACUGGCCAGCCAUUUCAGGGUGUCCAAUUCAACAAUGGAGGAUGUCAUCAGUAUAGCUGACAAUAUCCUUAAUUCGGCCUCAGUAACCAACUGGACAGUCUUACUGCGGGAAGAAAAGUAUGCCAGCUCACGGUUACUAGAGACAUUAGAAAACAUCAGCACUCUGGUGCCUCCGACGGCUCUUCCUCUGAAUUUUUCUCGGAAAUUCAUUGACUGGAAAGGGAUUCCAGUGAACAAAAGCCAACUCAAAAGGGGUUACAGCUAUCAGAUUAAAAUGUGUCCCCAAAAUACAUCUAUUCCCAUCAGAGGCCGUGUGUUAAUUGGGUCAGACCAAUUCCAGAGAUCCCUUCCAGAAACUAUUAUCAGCAUGGCCUCGUUGACUCUGGGGAACAUUCUACCCAUUUCCAAAAAUGGAAAUGCUCAGGUCAAUGGACCUGUGAUAUCCACGGUUAUUCAAAACUAUUCCGUAAAUGAAGUUUUCCUAUUUUUUUCCAAGAUAGAGUCAAACCUGAGCCAGCCUCAUUGUGUGUUUUGGGAUUUCAGUCAUUUGCAGUGGAACGAUGCAGGCUGCCACCUAGUGAAUGAAACUCAAGACAUCGUGACGUGCCGAUGUACUCACUUGACCUCCUUCUCCAUGUUGAUGUCACCUUUUGUCCCCUCUACGAUCUUCCCCGUUGUAAAAUGGAUCACCUAUGUGGGACUGGGUAUCUCCAUUGGAAGUCUCAUUUUAUGCCUGAUCAUCGAGGCUUUGUUUUGGAAGCAGAUUAAAAAAAGCCAAACCUCUCACACACGUCGUAUUUGCAUGGUGAACAUAGCCCUGUCCCUCUUGAUUGCUGAUGUCUGGUUUAUUGUUGGUGCCACAGUGGACACCACGGUGAACCCUUCUGGAGUCUGCACAGCUGCUGUGUUCUUUACACACUUCUUCUACCUCUCUUUGUUCUUCUGGAUGCUCAUGCUUGGCAUCCUGCUGGCUUACCGGAUCAUCCUCGUGUUCCAUCACAUGGCCCAGCAUUUGAUGAUGGCUGUUGGAUUUUGCCUGGGUUAUGGGUGCCCUCUCAUUAUAUCUGUCAUAACCAUUGCUGUCACGCAACCUAGCAAUACCUACAAAAGGAAAGAUGUGUGUUGGCUUAACUGGUCCAAUGGAAGCAAACCACUCCUGGCUUUUGUUGUCCCUGCACUGGCUAUUGUGGCUGUGAACUUCGUUGUGGUGCUGCUAGUUCUCACAAAGCUCUGGAGGCCGACUGUUGGGGAAAGACUGAGUCGGGAUGACAAGGCCACCAUCGUCCGCGUGGGGAAGAGCCUCCUCAUUCUGACCCCUCUGCUAGGGCUCACCUGGGGCUUUGGAAUAGGAACAAUAGUGGACAGCCAGAAUCCGGCUUGGCAUGUUAUUUUUGCUUUACUCAAUGCAUUCCAGGGAUUUUUUAUCUUAUGCUUUGGAAUACUCUUGGACAGUAAGCUGCGACAACUUCUGUUCAACAAGUUGUCUGCCUUAAGUUCUUGGAAGCAAACAGAAAAGCAAAACUCAUCAGAUUCAUCUGCCAAACCCAAAUUCUCAAAGCCUUUCAACCCACUGCAAAACAAAGGCCAUUAUGCAUUUUCUCAUACUGGAGAUUCCUCCGACAACAUCAUGCUAACUCAGUUUGUCUCAAAUGAAUAAGGCAAGGAAUCAUAAAAUCAAGAAAAAAUUUCCAGAACAACUUGACAUUUAGAGACAAAUGUCAAUGAAGAAAUUAUGCUCAGUAUUCGAUCGGGUUUUCUGAUUUAGGGG